rnacentral:rRNA from 1 species
UACAGAGGGUGCGAGCGUUAAUCGGAAUUACUGGGCGUAAAGCGCGCGUAGGCGGCUUUGCAAGCCGGAUGUGAAAUCCCCGGGCUUAACCUGGGAACUGCAUUCGGGACUGCAUUGCUAGAGUAUGGGAGAGGGAAGUGGAAUUUCAGGUGUAGCGGUGAAAUGCGUAGAUAUCUGAAGGAACAUCAGUGGCGAAAGCGACUUCCUGGACCAAUACUGACGCUCAUGUGCGAAAGCGUGGGGAGCAAACGGG